AGGCCCCGCCCUGCCGCCCCACCGGCCCGCCCGGGCCCUAGUGGGUGGGCGCAGCCUCUGGCGCUUCUUCGGGAUCCCAGCUGACCAGCUGGGGGUGGGGCGUGGCGGAGUGGCCACGUGGGCCGCGCGGAGAACGCGCCAGGCUCAUCACCUGGAUCAUCGUGCCUCAGUUUCCCCCUCGGCAAAUGGGGCUUCAGCGGCUCGCGACGCACAUUGAUGGAGCGUAUGUCCAGGCGCCGGUGCACCGCAAGGAGCAAAACAGACACAGUUCUUGGUCCUAGGGCUCACGUCCCGGGGCGAAGAGGAUCCUCCAUAAACGAUCAGCCAUAGCAGCUGUGAUUGGACAAGAGACUGAUUUCAGUGACUUUCUCCUAAUAAGAGACCACCGACCAGCUGACCAUGCCGACCAGCUGACCCGUUAAUAGAGAGAGAUGAUGCACCUGCAUGCCUUUGUGUCCUGAAAAGACGUUUUGCCAUAAAGGCCCUAAUUGUAAGAUGUGUAAAUGUUAAGUCUCCACCCCAAAGUGAACAUGGGUCAUAUAUUACAUGCUUUGCUCAAUAAGAGGGCAUGUGUCAGGACCACCUUCAUGAAUAUUCAUAGCUCCUCCUGUUACCUGUUGAAUAUGUAUGUUUAGCCAAUCCCUUCAGCAUAGCGCUCCUGCCCCAACCCCUCCUCCUUGGACGUGCCUGUCUCUGGCCUUGGCUGGAGACAGAUUCCCAGCCUCAGACAGAUGGCCGCCACCUUGCAGGCUACGACCGUUUACAAGAAAUAAAGCCUUCUCUUUUUCCAAA
rnacentral:lncRNA from 1 species